rnacentral:rRNA from 1 species
GUGAACGCUGGCGGUAGGCCUAACACAUGCAAGUCGAACGGCAGCACAGUAAGAGCUUGCUCUUACGGGUGGCGAGUGGCGGACGGGUGAGGAAUACAUCGGAAUCUACUUUUUCGUGGGGGAUAACGUAGGGAAACUUACGCUAAUACCGCAUACGACCUACGGGUGAAAGCAGGGGAUCUUCGGACCUUGCGCGAUUGAAUGAGCCGAUGUCGGAUUAGCUAGUUGGCGGGGUAAAGGCCCACCAAGGCGACGAUCCGUAGCUGGUCUGAGAGGAUGAUCAGCCACACUGGGACUGAGACACGGUCCAGACUCCUACGGGAGGCAGCAGUGGGGAAUAUUGGACAAUGGGCGCAAGCCUGAUCCAGCCAUACCGCGUGGGUGAAGAAGGCCUUCGGGUUGUAAAGCCCUUUUGUUGGGAAAGAAAAGCAGCAGGUUAAUACCCCGCUGUUCUGACGGUACCCAAAGAAUAAGCACCGGCUAACUUCGU